rnacentral:rRNA from 1 species
GACGAACGCUGGCGGCGUGCUUAACACAUGCAAGUCGAACGCUGAACCCGCUUCGGUGGGGGAUGAGUGGCGAACGGGUGAGUAGCACGUGGGCAACCUGCCCCCGGCUCUGGGAUAACUCCAAGAAAUUGGGGCUAAUACCGGAUGUGACCGCUGGCCGCAUGGUCUGGUGGUGGAAAGGGUUUCCGGCUGGGGAUGGGCCCGCGGCCUAUCAGCUUGUUGGUGGGGUAGUGGCCUACCAAGGCGACGACGGGUAGCCGGCCUGAGAGGGUGACCGGCCACACUGGGACUGAGACACGGCCCAGACUCCUACGGGAGGCAGCAGUGGGGAAUAUUGCGCAAUGGGCGGAAGCCUGACGCAGCGACGCCGCGUGGGGGAUGACGGCCUUCGGGUUGUAAACCUCUUUCAGCAGGGACGAAGCGCAAGUGACGGUACCUGCAGAAGAAGCACCGGCCAACUACGU